rnacentral:rRNA from 1 species
GUGGAUUAGAUACCCGGGUAGUCCACGCCGUAAACGAUGGAUACUUGCUGUUGGAUUUUCGGAUUCAGUGGCUAAGCGAAAGUUAUAAGUAUCCCACCUGGGGAGUACGUUCGCAAGAAUGAAACUCAAAGGAAUUGACGGGGGCCCGCACAAGCGGUGGAGCAUGUGGUUUAAUUCGAUGAUACGCGAGGAACCUUACCAAGGCUUAAAUGCAUAAUGACGUAUUUGGAAACAGAUAUUUCUUCGGACAGAAUGCAAGGUGCUGCACGGCCGUCGACAACU